rnacentral:rRNA from 1 species
UACGGAGGGGGCUAGCGUUGUUCGGAAUUACUGGGCGUAAAGCGCACGUAGGCGGUUUGGUAGGUCCGCUGUGAAAACUCGAGGCUCAACCUCGAGACGCCGGUGGAAACCAUCAGACUAGAGUCCGGAAGAGGAGAGUGGAAUUCCUGGUGUAGCGGUGAAAUGCGCAGAUAUCAGGAGGAACACCAAUGGCGAAGGCAGCUCACUGGGACGGUAUUGACGCUGAGACGCGAAAGCGUGGGGAGCAAACAGG